GACGAACGCUGGCGGCGUGCCUAAUACAUGCAAGUCGAACGCAGUGGGGACGGGUGAGUAACACGUGGGUAACCUCCCAUCAGAGGGGAUAACACUUGGAAACAGGUGCUAAACCGAUACUGAUGGAUGAACCCGCGGUGAAUUAGCUAGUUGGUGAGGUGACGGGUCACCAAGGCCACGAUGCAUAGCCGACCGGAGAGGGUUAUCGGCCAAACUGGGACUGAGACACGGCCCAGACUCCUACGUGAGGCAGCAGUAGGGAAUCUUCGGACAUGGACGAAAGUCUGACCGAGCAACGACGCGUGAUGGAAGAAGUUUUUCGGAUCGUAAAACUCUGUUGUUAGAGAAGCGGUAUCUAACCAGAAAGCCACGGCUAACUACGUGCCAGCAGCCGCGGUAAUAC
rnacentral:rRNA from 1 species